ACACGCUGGCGGCGUGCUUAACACAUGCAAGUCGAACGAUGAAGCUAGAGCUUGCUCUGGUGAAUUAGUGGCGAACGGGUGAGUAACACGUGAGUAACCUGCCCCGAACUCUGGGAUAACUGCUGGAAACGGUAGCUAAUACUGGAUACGACCUACGAAGGCAUCUUCUGUAGGUGGAAAAGAAUUUCGGUUCGGGAUGGACUCGCGGCCUAUCAGCUUGUUGGUGAGGUAAUGGCUCACCAAGGCGACGACGGGUAGCCGGCCUGAGAGGGUGACCGGCCACACUGGGACUGAGACACGGCCCAGACUCCUACGGGAGGCAGCAGUGGGGAAUAUUGCACAAUGGGCGCAAGCCUGAUGCAGCAACGCCGCGUGAGGGAUGACGGCCUUCGGGUUGUAAACCUCUUUUAGUAAGGAAGAAGCGAAAGUGACGGUACCUGCAGAAAAAGCACCGGCUAACUACGUG
rnacentral:rRNA from 1 species